rnacentral:rRNA from 1 species
GGAUUCCCCUAGUAACUGCGAGUGAAGCGGGAAAAGCUCAAAUUUAAAAUCUGGCGGUUCUUGUAGCCGUCCGAAUUGUAAUUUAGAGAAGUGCCAUCCGUGCUGGACCGUGUACAAGUCUCCUGGAACGGAGCGUCAUAGAGGGUGAGAAUCCCGUAUAUGACACGGACUACCAGUGCAUUGUGAUGCGCUCUCGAAGAGUCGAGUUGUUUGGGAAUGCAGCUCAAAAUGGGUGGUAAAUUCCAUCUAAAGCUAAAUACAGGCGAGAGACCGAUAGCGAACAAGUACCGUGAGGGAAAGAUGAAAAGAACUUUGGAAAGAGAGUUAAACAGUACGUGAAAUUGUUGAAAGGGAAACGCUUGAAGUCAGUCAUGUUGUUUGGGGAUCAGCCUUGCUUUGCUUGGUGUACUUCCUGUUCAACAGGUCAGCAUCAGUUUUGACCGCUGGAAAAAGUUCAUAGGAAUGUGGCAUCUUCGGAUGUGUUAUAGCCUGUGUUCAUAUACAGUGAUUGGGACUGAGGACUCAGCACUUAGUUGCUUGGGAUGCUGGCAAAAUGGCUUUAAGCGACCCGUCUUGAAACACGGACCAAGGAGUCUAACAUGCCCGCGAGUGUUUGGGUGGAAAACCCGAGCGCGUAAUGAAAGUGAAAAGUUGGGAUCUCUGUCGUGGAGAGCACCGACGCCCGGACCUGAUGUUUUCGGAUGGAUCUGCGGUAGAGCGUGUAUGUUGGGACCCGAAAGAUGGUGAACUAUGCCUGAAUAGGGUGAAGCCAGAGGAAACUCUGGUGGAGGCUCGUAGCGAUUCUGACGUGCAAAUCGAUCGUCGAAUUUGGGUAUAGGGG